UGAGGAAUAUUGGACAAUGGGCGGGAGCCUGAUCCAGCCAUGCCGCGUGCAGGAAGACUGCCCUAUGGGUUGUAAACUGCUUUUAUAGGGGAAGAAACACUCUCACGUGUGAGAGCUUGACGGUACCCUACGAAUAAGGAUCGGCUAACUCCGUGCCAGCAGCCGCGGUAAUACGGAGGAUCCAAGCGUUAUCCGGAAUCAUUGGGUUUAAAGGGUCCGUAGGCGGGCAGCUAAGUCAGUGGUGAAAGUCUGUGGCUCAACCAUAGAAUUGCCAUUGAUACUGGUUGUCUUGAAUUGGUGUGAAGUGGCUAGAAUAUGUAGUGUAGCGGUGAAAUGCUUAGAUAUUACAUAGAAUACCGAUUGCGAAGGCAGGUCACUAACACCAUAUUGACGCUGAUGGACGAAAGCGUGGGGAGCGAACA
rnacentral:rRNA from 1 species